CCAGACUCCUACGGGAGGCAGCAGUGGGGGAUAUUGCACAAUGGGGGAAACCCUGAUGCAGCGACGCCGCGUGGGUGAAGAAGUAUUUCGGUAUGUAAAGCCCUAUCGGCAGGGAAGAAAUUGGACGGUACCUGACUAAGAAGCCCCGGCUAACUACGUGCCAGCAGCCGCGGGAAUACGUAGGGGGCAAGCGUUAUCCGGAUUCACUGGGUGUAAAGGGAGCGUAGACGGCCAUGCAAGCCUGGAGUGAAAGCCCGGGGCCCAACCCCGGGACUGCUCUGGGAACUGUGCGGCUGGAGUGCGGGAGGGGCAGGCGGAAUUCCUGGUGUAGCGGUGAAAUGCGUAGAUAUCAGGAGGAACACCGGCGGCGAAGGCGGCCUGCUGGACCGCGACUGACGUUGAGGCUCGAAAGCGUGGGGAGCAAACAGGAUUAGAUACCCCUGUAA
rnacentral:rRNA from 1 species